UUGUUGGGUAGGGGAGCGUUCUGUAAGCCUGUGAAGGUGUACUGUGAGGUAUGCUGGAGGUAUCAGAAGUGCGAAUGCUGACAUAAGUAACGAUAAAGCGGGUGAAAAGCCCGCUCGCCGGAAGACCAAGGGUUCCUGUCCAACGUUAAUCGGGGCAGGGUGAGUCGACCCCUAAGGCGAGGCCGAAAGGCGUAGUCGAUGGGAAACAGGUUAAUAUUCCUGUACUUGGUGUUACUGCGAAGGGGGGACGGAGAAGGCUAUGUUGGCCGGGCGACGGUUGUCCCGGUUUAAGCGUGUAGGCUGGUUUUCCAGGCAAAUCCGGAAAAUCAAGGCUGAGGCGUGAUGACGAGGCACUACGGUGCUGAAGCAACAAAUGCCCUGCUUCCAGGAAAAGCCUCUAAGCAUCAGGUAACAUCAAAUCGUACCCCAAACCGACACAGGUGGUCAGGUAGAGAAUACCAAGGCGCUUGAGAGAACUCGGGUGAAGGAACUAGGCAAAAUGGUGCCGUAACUUCGGGAGAAGGCACGCUGAUAUGUAGGUGAAGUCCCUCGCGGAUGGAGCUGAAAUCAGUCGAAGAUACCAGCUGGCUGCAACUGUUUAUUAAAAACACAGCACUGUGCAAACACGAAAGUGGACGUAUACGGUGUGACGCCUGCCCGGUGCCGGAAGGUUAAUUGAUGGGGUUAGCGCAAGCGAAGCUCUUGAUCGAAGCCCCGGUAAACGGCGGCCGUAACUAUAACGGUCCUAAGGUAGCGAAAUUCCUUGUCGGGUAAGUUCCGACCUGCACGAAUGGCGUAAUGAUGGCCAGGCUGUCUCCACCCGAGACUCAGUGAAAUUGAACUCGCUGUGAAGAUGCAGUGUACCCGCGGCAAGACGGAAAGACCCCGUGAACCUUUACUAUAGCUUGACACUGAACAUUGAGCCUUGAUGUGUAGGAUAGGUGGGAGGCUUUGAAGUGUGGACGCCAGUCUGCAUGGAGCCGACCUUGAAAUACCACCCUUUAAUGUUUGAUGUUCUAACGUGGACCCGUAAUCCGGGUUGCGGACAGUGUCUGGUGGGUAGUUUGACUGGGGCGGUCUCCUCCUAAAGAGUAACGGAGGAGCACGAAGGUUGGCUAAUCCUGGUCGGACAUCAGGAGGUUAGUGCAAUGGCAUAAGCCAGCUUGACUGCGAGCGUGACGGCGCGAGCAGGUGCGAAAGCAGGUCAUAGUGAUCCGGUGGUUCUGAAUGGAAGGGCCAUCGCUCAACGGAUAAAAGGUACUCCGGGGAUAACAGGCUGAUACCGCCCAAGAGUUCAUAUCGACGGCGGUGUUUGGCACCUCGAUGUCGGCUCAUCACAUCCUGGGGCUGAAGUAGGUCCCAAGGGUAUGGCUGUUCGCCAUUUAAAGUGGUACGCGAGCUGGGUUUAGAACGUCGUGAGACAGUUCGGUCCCUAUCUGCCGUGGGCGCUGGAGAACUGAGGGGGGCUGCUCCUAGUACGAGAGGACCGGAGUGGACGCAUCACUGGUGUUCGGGUUGUCAUGCCAAUGGCACUGCCCGGUAGCUAAAUGCGGAAGAGAUAAGUGCUGAAAGCAUCUAAGCACGAAACUUGCCCCGAGAUGAGUUCUCCCUGACUCCUUGA
rnacentral:rRNA from 1 species